rnacentral:rRNA from 1 species
UACGUAGGGGCCUAGCGUUGUCCGGAUUUAUUGGGCGUAAAGAGCUCGUAGGCGGUGUGUCGCGUCGGCCGUGAAAACCUGCAGCUUAACUGUGGGCGUGCGGUCGAUACGGGCAUCACUGGAGUUCGGCAGGGGAGACUGGAAUUCCUGGUGUAGCGGUGAAAUGCGCAGAUAUCAGGAGGAACACCGGUGGCGAAGGCGGGUCUCUGGGCCGAUACUGACGCUGAGGAGCGAAAGCGUGGGGAGCGAACAGG